rnacentral:lncRNA from 1 species
CAAUUUAAACUAUAAUAACAAUGUUGCAGAUUAAUAUGAAAUGUAGAAAUAAAAUAUAUGAAAGGUUCUCUGUAAAUUAUGUAUAUAUAUUACUGUGCAUAUAUAUUAUAUAUUUGAUAUGAAAUAUUUGUGUAAUGCAAUGAAAUUUAUUGAAUUGUCUUGGCAAUUUUACAAAAAUCAACAGACCUCUUACAUUUGUGGAAAAAUGGAGUAGACAUUUUUUUCCUAUUUCUCCUGCUAUACACAAUGAAAAGCUUGGACAUUUUACAUAUAACAAUCAUUGAAGGACACUAAAAGGUAGAUAAAAUAAGUCAUGACCUAAGGACCUCACAAUCUGUGCAAUGGUGUGGUCAGUUUCCUGGGUUUUCUUUUUAUGUUAUGUAUUCCAGUAAUAAAACUGUUGAAGGUGGUAGCUUAAAAGCAUCAGCAGGCAUAGAAAAGAAAACAUCUACAAAGCCUUUUCUCUAGCCAUAGGACCAGGAAAGCAGCAUUCUAUUAAGAGGAAGGCGGAACACUUUCAUAUAGUAAUAGCUACUAUUCCUAAACACUAGCAAAAAAAUGAAAAAUUAAAAAAAAGAAAUUUCUGCCCUACUUUCACCAAUCCCAGCAAAGACUGAGUGGAGAGCCUGGACUUCCAACACGUGUCCAGCUGUAAGGACACUCAUCAGUUCUCCUCAAAGUAAAGCUGUGGCACCAAAGAUGGCUGAAUAGAGGGUGGAGACUUUUAUCUCCACUGGUUGGUAACGAAGUAUCUCUCCCUCAGCCUGCUUCUCUUUUCAUCCUCCCAUUGUCACCUUCCAUCCCCUGCCCUGCAGUGUCAGUGGAAAUCAUGUGAGGUGCCUGGACUUAUUCAUUCAUUCAACGAUAAUGAGGCAUGCCUUUCUCUCCUUACUGGAGUCAUGUUAAAGGAAGACAGCUAAGACAGAAAAUUGAAGGAAGAGUCAAGAUCUCAUAACAUAAUACUCAAGUUGUCCGGGUUUCAGUAGGAAGUCCCUCAUGUUACUAAGAACUCAAAAAUCUGAACUUGAUUUUUAAAAAAUCAAUACUUAAAACUGAGAUGGCAGAAAUUAUUCUCUGACAGAGAUUUUAAAGCAGUCAUCAUAAAAUUGCUUCACCCAGAAGUUACAAACAUACAGGAAAUAUUUUUUUAACUCAGCAAUAAAAUAGAAAGUCUUAGCAAAGAAAUAGGAGGUAUAGAGUGGAAUCAAAUAAAAAUUUUAGAACAUAAAACUACAAUAAUGAAAAUUAAAUUGCAAAAGGUGGUUCUAAUAGAAGAACAGAAGGGAUAGAAUGAAUAAUUUUUGAAUCUUAAGAGAGAACAAUAAAAAUUACACAAUCGACAAAACAGAGAAAAUACAUUUUAAAAAAUAAACAGUGCCUGAGGAAACUUUAGACUAUAUCUCAAAAGAGCUAACAUUUGUGUCUCUUGAGUUCCAGGAGACAAGAAAAAGGAUAAGAUUGAAAAAUUACUCUAAGAGAUAAUGGCUAAAAUCUUCCCAAAUUUGGGAAACGGUGUAAGCUAACAGAUCCAAGAAACUACUUUGCUUCUUGGAUUAGUUUGUAUCACAAACAGAAUAAACUACAAACUGUACACACCAAGACACAUUAUAGUCAAGCUUCUGAAAACUCAGGAUGAAGAAAAUAACUUGGAAGCAGCAAGAAAUUCGACACUGUACAUGAAGGUAAAAACAAAUUGAAUAACAGCGGGUUUAUCAUGAGAAACCAGGUCAGCGAGGAGAAGAGGCCUGAUAUUUUUUAAGAGCUGAAAAAAGGUUCUGUCAACCCCGAAUUCUAUGUCUACUAAAAAUAUAUUUCAAGACUGAAGGACAAAUCAAGAUAUUUUGGAAUAAAGAAAGACUAAGAGGACUUGUCACCGGCAGAUCUGUCCUAAGGAUAUGGCUAAAGGAAGUUUUCUAAUUGUUAUAAAAUAUUGGCAAAGACAAUACAUUUUUCUUCUCUUCUUAAAUUUUCUAAAUUAUGUUUGAUGCUAGAAGCUAAAAUUAUAAUACCUUCUGAUGUGAUUCUAAGUUUAUGUGGAAAAAUAUUUAAGACAAUUAUAUUGUAAAUGGGUGGUGGUGGAGGAGCAUAAAUUGUGCUACAGAUUCUACAUUUUACUUUAACUGGCAAAAUAAUGACACCAAUUGACUAUGAUAAGUUAUGUACAUAAAAUGUUAUAUAUAUAUAAUAACCAGUAAGAAAGGUUUACAUCACAUACACUCAAUGACACUAUGGACAAAUUAAAAUGAAAUUCUGAAAAAGGGCAAGUAACCCAUAGAAAGGUAGAGAAAAGCAAACAGUAAAAUCACUGGGGAAGGAAAAACACAAAACAAAAGUAAAAUAUCUGACAUAUUGGUAACUAUAUUAAACAGAAAUUAUCUUUUAAAAUUACCUAUAUGCUGUUUUUAAGAAACUCAGAUAAACUAUAAAAAUAUAGAUGUAGUAAAUGUAAAAAAAGAAAAAAAUUAUAUUACGCAAAGUUUCAGAAAUGAAAAAUAUCUGGUAAAUAAGACUCCAGAUCUAUAUCUCAGUCAAUAACUAGAGACAGAGAGGGACAUUGUAUAAUUAUAAAAUGGUCAUUCCAACAAAACAUAUUAAUCUUCAAUAUCCAUGCACCAUGCAAAAUAUUUGAAGUAAGACUAGUAUAAGUGAAAGGAGAAAUAGGCAAAUACACAAUUUAAGCUAAAGACUGUAUCAGUCCGUUUUCACACUGCUGAUAAAGACAUACCUGAGACUGGGUAAUUUAUAAAGGAAAAGAGGUUUAAUGGACCCACAGUUCCAUGUGGCUAGGGAGGCCUCACAAUCAUGGCAGAAGGUAAAAGACAUGUCUUACAUGGCGGCAGACAAGAGAGAAUGAAUGAAUCAAGUGAAAGGGGAAAAUCUUUAUAAAAUAAUCAGAUAUCGUGAGACUUAUUCACUUCCACAAGAACAGUAUGGGGGAAACUGUCCCCAUGAUUCAAUUAUGUUCCACCGGGUGCCUCCCACAACACGUGGGAAUUAUGGGAACUACAAUUCAAGGUGAGAUUUGGGUGGGGACACAGCCAAACCAUAUCAAAGAUUUUUACACCCUACCUCAGUAAUAGAUAAAAUUAUAACAUAGAAAAUCAGCAGACAACUUACCCAAGAUGCUACCAUUGGGUAAAGGAUCUCUUUUACUCAGUGGGACCUGUCUGUAUUAUUUCUUACAACUGCAUAUGAAUUUAAUAUCACAAAAUGAAGAGUUAAAAUAAUAAUGGUAGAAUAAAUCAUUUGACCAUGAUAUGGAGCCAUUUCUGAACCAUUGCCAAACUAUCAUCAUUAUUAUAGCUUUAUAUUGAUUCUUAAAGUUGACAUAGUGUGCCAUUCUAAUUUUUUAUUCAAAACAUUUGCAUUGGUUAUUAAAGGUUGUUUGUAUUACUGUAUAAAUAUUACCAUAUCCUUGUCAAAUUCUACAAAACACGUGUUAGAAUUAUGAUAGAAAUUUUAGUGAAUCUGUAAGUUAUUUCAGUGAGAAUUACAAUUUUAACGUAAGUGACUCUUUUAACACUCUUAUACAAUGCAUCUGUCCACUUACUUAAGUUAUCUUUAAUUUUUCUCCACGGUGUUUUCUGCUUUUUCCUCUUGAGGUCUUGGAGUUCUAGCUGCUAAGGCUGCUUUUCUCCAUUACUGAGGAAAGCCUUUGUGAUGAAGCCAAAAGUGUUGAAAAGUAAUGAACCCCAUUUAGCAAGAUUUCCACAUUUUGAUUUCCCUCUAACAAUCUGCCAAUAGGCAGGUUUUUCAUUUGCGCCACUGUUUUCAGAUAGUUGCUUUUUCUUUUGAAUUUUGUGUAGUUAUGCUUGUCAUUAGCUGGAGGAUUGGUCUCUAAGGUGUUUGCAAUGCAAUAGUAGAACUGGAAUGAUAUGAGUAUAUUUUGAUAAUAAAGCUAAAAGGGUUAUUUUACAUAUCGAUAUUGAUUGUUAAAGAAGAAGAUUCAAGAAUGAGUUCAUAGGUUUUGGUUGACAACUGGACUAAGGCUAUUGUUGUUAGCAAAAAAGUGAAAUAAUUCAGAAACAAUAGUUUUGGGGUGGGAGAUAUUAAGAAGUUCAGUUUGAAAAAGUCAAGAUUGAGAUACCUAUUAGAUAGUCAAUUAGGAAUUUUAAGUUGGAAAUUUAUUAAAGAAGUCUUUAUUUCAGUGGAGAUAUCAAAGUUGGAGAUAAUUUUAUGAAUCAUAAGCAUAUAGGUAAUAUAUAAAGUCAAAAAAACUGGAUGAGGUCACUAAAGGGAGUGUGUGUGGACAGGAAGGGAAGAGAUCAAAAGAGACUCAAAGGCUGAGUUCUGAGUCACAUAAAAAGCAAUAUAAUAAAAUGUGAAAAUGUGCUUACAGCAAUAUGUAAAAUGAAAAUAUGAGAAGGAAUAAAUAAUCCAGCCUGGAAUGUCAAGGAAUUUCCUUACACUUACCUCUAAAAAUGAAUCUGUAUGUAUGAACAAAAGUUAUCCAAGCAAAUGAAAGGAUAAAGAACAUUCUGGGAUGAUAGGCUUCAAUGAGCAAGGCACAGAGCUUAUGGAGAGCAUGACUGUUUAAUCAUGCUACGGGAAGACUAGGGCAAGAAAUGGUAAAUGCAGUGUUGAAGAAGACCAGAUAGAACAACCGUUGCACUUUUUUGCCACGUUAAGAAGACGUUUUUAUCAGGAGAGUUUGGGGUUUUAAAACUGUUUCUGAAAGUAGAACUUAUUGUAUGUAAGUAAUCUGAGGUGGAAUUUAAAUUUAUAAAACAAAUAAAAGAAGAAUUUCCUUGUUGAAAUUAGUGCAUUCAGGGGAGGAGGAAGGUACAAUUUGCUUUAUGUUCACUCCGGGUGGCAGCCCCUGACACACCUUCAGAAAAUCUCAAGAAUUCAUGCUUCAGAAUUCAGUGAAACAGUCAGGUGCUUUCAAUGAUAUUCAUCAAGUUUUCAUUUUAAAUCUACUACUUAUGUGGGAUGAAUUUGAAUGAAAUAUUAUUGGCAAAUUCACUGAAAAGAAGAGGAGAUCGGUUAAUAGUGCAGGCAAGAAGUGACAAAGGCGAAGAAAAUGCAGUGUCUUAUAGAAAAUUACUUGGAAUAUUCUUGAGGGUAGUGAGAGCCAGAAUCCUCUAAGAUGAGAUGAUAUUUCUUCUUUCAUCUAAACUAGAUCUUGUACAUAAUGAUAUAAACUGUACCACUCAAAUAGUUUUUUUAAAAAACCCUUAAUUCAUAAAACAGGUGCAAGAGUGUCACAGUAUCCUCACACAGUGGUAGCCCCCAUGUUACCUUCAGGGACUCUGUAGAAUCUAACAUAACAUUUAUCUGUAAAGUUUACUGAUAGAUAGUGUACAGUUUUAUGAGUUUAAAAAUCAGUAAUUAAUGCACUCACCAUCACAGCAACAAUAUAAGACAAUCCUAUUAUUGCCCAAAUGGUCUCCUUGGCACUUUGUGGUUAACCUUUCGCCCAGUCCUAGCCUUUUGCAACCAUUAAUAUAACAUUAAUCCUUCAAAUGUUGUCUUUUCCAGAAUGUUAUAUAAAUGGAAUCAUACAAUAUAUAGCAUUUUUAAACUGAAUCUUUUUGUUUUAGUAUAGCUCAUUUGUGAUUCAUCUAUGUAGUUGCACCCAAAAAUAGUCUCUUCCUUUUUGAUUGAUUGACAGCAUUCCAUUGUGUAGAUAUACCAGCUUGUUUACCUUCUCCCUCGCUGUGAGAUAUUUGGAUUGUCGUCAGAUUUUGGCGAUUACAAAUGAAACUACUAUAAACAUUCAGGUACCAGGUUUUGUGUGUACCUAAGUUUUUAUUUCACAUGAGUAAAUACCUAGGGCAGAGUGAGAUUAUUGAGUAGAAUGUUAUCUAUUCAAUUUGGCCAGAAAAAAAAAAUACCAAACUGUUUCUCUAUUCUCAAGGGUUUUCACACGACAACAGAUGAGUUGUGGUGAGAGGCUGUGUAGAUCAAAAACCCCCUAAGAUAUUUAUUAUUUUACCUUUUAUACAGAAGUUUGCCAAUCUCUGGCCCAAAAUAUGGUCCAUCAUGGUGAAUUUUUUAUGUGCAGUGGAAAAAAAUGAGUAUUUUGCUGUUAUUUGAUGGAGUGUUCUGUAAAUGUGAAAUAAUUCACAUUCCUUGUGAUAUUCAGUCUCCUACAUUCUUACCAAUUUUCUGUUUCUUUGUUUGUUCUAUUGAUUACUGAAUAUGUAGUGCUGAAGAGUGUUGAUGUUUCCAGCUAUAAUUGUGAAUCUGCCUCUUCUUCCUUUCAGUUUUAUCUACUUUUGCUUUGUGCAUUUUUAAGUUCUAUUGCUAGGUACAUACCCCUUUGGAGUUGUCAUGUCAUCUUGCUGAAUUAAACAUUUUAUUGCUACACAAUGGCCUUCUUUAAUUUCUGAUAAUAUAUUUUGUUUUCACUUCAACUUUUCUGUUAUUAAGAGUCACACCAGCUUUCUGUUGAUUAGUGUUUACAUUUGUUUUAAUCUUAUCCGUGCCAUCACAUUCAAUCUAAGUUUCUUGUAACUAGCAAAUAGAUAAAUAUUACCUUUUAAAAUUAAUAGACUAUUUUUAGAGAAGUUUAAGAUUUAAAGAAAAAAUAAGCAGAAAUUUUUACUGAAAUGGAUUCAUUUUAGGUCCUGUUGCUCACAGCAAGAAAAGUCAAUUACUGAAACAAUGAGUAUUACCAGGAAAGAAGGCUUUAUUCCUGGGUGCUGUAGCCGAGGAGAACAGGAGAUCAGUCUCAAAUCUGUUUCCCUGACCGACUAAAAUUGGGGAUUUAUAUUGCAGAGAAGGGAUGUAGCUACAUGCAGUAAAACAGGUAUUAGCGAGGAGUACAGAACCAUCAAGGCAAGCAAGGGAUCUGGCAUCCCACCAUUGUCCAGAUGCAGUGAUCUUAUAAGUUUCAGCUCCUUGAUAAUGUCUGGGAUGCUGACUGAUUGUCAGUUCCCUGAAAGAAACUCAGAUAAGACAAAUGUAAGUUUCUCUAGUUUUAAGACUGAAAGAAUCAACUUCUAUGUUUAUCCAAAAAAAAAAAAAAAAAACUGUCUAUGGGACAAUUGGGUCGGUUUCAAAAUGACAGAGUACCCAUAUUAUCCCUCUCUCCCCUCUUCUUCCCCACAAUCCCCUUUAUUAUUAACAUUUUUUCAUUAAUGUGACACAUUUGUUGCAAUUGACAGAAUAUUAUUAAUUAAAGUUCAUAGUUUACAUUGGGAUUUAGUCUUUCUGUUAUACAAUUUCUGGGUUUUUACAAAGGUAUAAUUGCAUGUAGCUAUCAUUGCAGCAUCAAAUAGAACAAUUUCUCUGCCUUAAAAAAUUCCUUGAGUUCCACCUGUUUCAUCCUCUUUUUUACUGAACCAUUGGCAACGAAUGACCUAUUUACUGUCUCUAUAAUUUGGCCUUUUCUAGAAUGUCAUGUAGUUGGAAUUAUGUAGUAUGCAAUCUUUUCAUACUGGCUUAUUUUACUCAGUAACAUGCAUGUAAGCUUCCUCUAUGUCUUCUUGUGACUUGGUAGCUCAUUUCCUUUUAUUGCUGAAUAAUUUUUCGGUGUAUGGAUGUGCUACAGUUUGUUUAUACAUUUAUCUUUUGAAGGGUAUCUUGUUUUCUUGAAGUUUUAUAAUGGUAUCUUGUUUGUUCUUACUUUUUAAAUGUUUUGUCAAUCAUGAAUAAAGCUGCUCUAAAUAUUUGUGUGCAAGGUUUUUUUGUUGUUUGUUUGUCUUUGGUUGUGGGUUUUUUUUGUGUGUUUGUGUGAGCUAACCAAGGAAUAUGAUCACUGGAUCAUGUGGUAAAAGUAUAUAUAGCUUUCUAAGAAACUGCCAAACUGUCUUCUACAGUGGCUGUACUACUUUGCAUCCCCAUCAGUGAUGAAUGAAUAUAUUGGUUGCUCCACACUCUUGCUAGCAUUUGUUAUUUUCAGUGUUUUGGGUUUUAGCCAUUCUUAAAGGUAUGUAGUGGUAUCUGGUUAUUGGUCCUUAAUUUUUAAUCCAGUAUGACAACCUCUGUCUUGAAACAAUAAUUUAAACAAGUGAUAAUGUAAGUAUUGUUAGUGUUUGAUAUAAAUCUAUUAUUUCACUGGCUGUUUGCAAGAUAGUCUAUCUGUUCUUCGUUUAUUUUUUCCACUUUUGGUGCUUUUAAAAAAAUUAAAUGGCAUUUGCAAACUACCUAUCUGAGAAGAAUUAAUAACCUGAGUAUAUAAAGACCUCAAAUAACUCUAUAGGAAAAAAAUCUAAUAAUCUGAUUAAAAAUCAGCAUAGAUAUUUCUCAAAAGAAGACAUACAAAUGGCAAACAGGCAUAUGAAAGGUGCUGAACAUCACUGAUCAUCAGAGAAAUGCAAAUAGAAACUACAAUGAGCUAUCACCUGACCCCAGCUAAAAAGGCUUAAUGCAAAUAAAAACUACAAUGAGCUAUCAUCUGACCCCAGUUAAUAUGGCUUUUAUGCAAAAAACAGGCGAUAAUAAAUGCUGAUGAGGAUGUAGAGAAAAGGGAAGGCUUGUACACUGUUGGUGGGAAUGUAAACUAGUGCAACCACUAUGGAAAACAGUUUGGAGAUUCCUCGAAAAACUAAAAACAGAGCUACCAUAUGAUCCAGCAAUCCUACUGGUAAGUAAACAUACAAAAGAAAUUAAAUCAGUACAAGGGAGAGUUAUCUGCUAUCUCAUGUUUGUUGCAGCACUGUUCACAAUAACCAAAAUUUGGAAGCAACCUACAUGCCCAUCAACAGAGGAAUGGAUAAAGAAAAUAUGGUACAUAUACACAAUGGAGUACUAUUCAGCCAUAAAAAGACUGAGAUUCUGUCCUUUGCAACAAGAUGAAUGGAACUGAAGAUAAUUAUUUAAAGUGAAAUAAGCCAAGCACAUAAAGACAAACAUCACAUGUUCUCACUUAUUUGUGGGAUCUAAACAUCUAAACAAUUGAACUCAUGGACAUAGUGAGUAGAAGGAUGGUUACCAGAGGCUGGGAAGGGUAGUGCCAGGCUAGGGGAGAGGUGGAGAUGAUAAAUGGGUACAAAACAAAAUAGUUAUAAAGAAUAAGAUACACUAUUUGAUCAUACAACAAGGUAACUAUAGCCAAUAGUAACUUGUAUUUGUUUUGUUUUGUUUUUUUUGAGACAGAGUCUCGCUCUGUCGCCCAGGCUGGAGUGCAGUGGCGCGAUCUCGGCUCACUGCAAGCUCCACCUGCCAGGUUCACUCCAUUCUCCUGCCUCAGCCUCCCGAGUAGCUGGGACUACAGGCGCCCACCACCACGCCCAGCCAACGUUUUGUAUUUUUGGUAGAGACGGGGUUUCACCGUGUUAGCCAGGAUGGUCUCGAUUUCCUGGCCUCAUGAUCCGCCUGCCUCAGCCUCCCAAAGAAUUGUGUGUUUUAAAAUAACUAUUAAGAAUGUAACUGGAUUGUUUGUAACACAAAGGAUAAAUGCUUGAGCGGAUGGAUACCCCAUUUUCCCUGAUGUCAUUAUUUCAUAUUACAUGCCUGUAUCAAAAAAUCUCAUGUACCCCACAAAUACAUACACCUACUAUGUGUCCACAAAAAAUUGUAAAAUAAAUAGAUAAAAAUUUUAAAAUGAAUUGCCUAUAUUUUACAAUUUCUUAUUAAUUCUACUAUUGGCUUAUAUUUAUAUCCUUUUAGUUUUUCAGCAUUUUCCCUAGACUAAGCCUCUACCAACCACUAAAUUGUACUCUGUACAUAUAAUUUUGUCAUUUCAAGAAUGUUAUAUAAAAAUUCUUGAAGUCAUAUGAGUACAUAUUAG